AUGUUUCCAAUAUUAGGCACCACCUCAGUGAUAACAGGAGAGGUCAAGACUCCAUGCUCAAGCUACAAGGUAAAUGGAGCAAAGAAAGUCGUCCCAAAACCGUCCGUGACACAAGGAGCCUCCUCAACAGCAGCAGCUUCAACGAAAGUUGGUCCCGCGAAAGCAGGACAGGCGAAGCGUGUACUAAUCAAUUCUGCUAAGAAAAAAAUUAUAAAGAAAAAACGGACCCCUAAGAAAGGAGCCUUUGCAAAGCAGGGGCUGCUUCCAACACCCACGGGAACACACACCGGGACAAUGCCGGCUGUGAGGAAAGGACCUUUACUCCCAACACCACUUUUACUACCAACGGAAAGCCCUCCUGGAAUAGUGGAUAAUGUCAGUGCCGAACACAAUUUAGAAUUUCCUGGCAGAAAUAGCCAAAUAGCAGAUUUCCCUACAGAGUUCCCUCAGGAAGAACAACCACACAGCAUCCUUUCAACUAAACUCCAAUCUUGGAAGAAGACGAAAAGUUGGCGUGGAGGAAAAAAACGAGUGGCUCCAUACGUUUUUCCUAGAGGGAACUCCAUCCUCGAAAGAAUUCGCUUCCAGAAUCCAGGGCAACAAGCUCCCAGUCCCAGGUUCCAGAACCGCACCUACGUAAGACCAGGAUACCAACCUUGGCAACCAAGACAGCCAAAGGAGCCUUUUCAUUGGGGCCCAACGUGGAAUUAGGGAUCCAACCCGGAAGAUUUGAUGAAAAACUGGAACGUUUUAAAGCCGGGGAUCUCGUCUUUUUGGAGAGAAAUCUUGACUGUGCGAUCCAAGUCAGAUCUGUGAACUCCCACAUUUUGAUCCCAGGGAUUAUAGCAUGUGCCUUAUUUUAAAGCAUGGUGUCUAGGACCAGGAAAAACCGGGAAUCAUCAGAAAGUGAAAACUUUUAAGGAAAAUCAGGGAAUCUUUUCCAGAGACUGAGAAUCUACUGCUUUCUACUCUGUUCUUUCUAUUCUACUGCUUGAAUGACAUAUUUGAAUAUAUAAAUCAUCAGAUAAUGGAGAGGCUUUCAUUGAACAAAUAAUACAGGUAUCGAGAAUUUUUUUGGCAUCGACAAUUUGAAUAGGCGUCAAAAAAUCGGUUGAAAUAUGAAAAAAAUCGAUAUUCAUAUCUAGAACUCAGAAGAAUUAGAUAGUUAUAGUUUGCCCCCUCAGAAGAUUCCUGGGGAAAUUGGAGAAAACUUUGGUUGCCCAUUAGGGAAAGAACCUCUAAAAAUGAAGGAAUGAGUAUGGUCAAGAAUUCUGCAGCCUGAUUGUUGAAAUUUUUUGUUUGUCGGGACGACAUAGAUGACGUAGGUUAAAAGGCGGAGCGUGAUUGGUCGGCUAUGUCUUAUCGCUGCUUUGUCGUGCCUAUGUCGGGUUGAACUCUUGACAAGCUAACAGCACCUCUUAAGUUUCCGAAAGUUUGCCGUCCAUUCCAACUGACAAAGCAGCAAUAAGACAUAGCCGACCAAUAAUGCUCCGCCUUUGAACCUACGUCAUCUAUGUCGUCCCUACAAACAAAAAAUUUCAACAAUCAGGCUGCAGAACACCAUAUUUUAAAGGAUGAAUGAAGACAAGCCUUUCACACAAAUAGAAAAUAUUAUCUUCACCACAGUCAUAAAUUGCACGUAACAGUCUUCCAAGAGGUCAGAAAUGGGCCCUUAAAAAAGGUGUGAAUUAAAAUACUACACAACGUAUUUUCUCCUCUAAAAUUUCUUGAGGGAAACUUUUUGCACAAUGCAAAGUCUGGAAAUCAGCCCCUGAAGAAGAUAUAAGCGACACUAGUGAAAUGGCAAAAAUACAAAGACAUCAUUUGCAUGUGUAAUUAUAACUUCCAUUUGAUCUGCGUCAAAAAUACUUGUUAAUGUCUCUUUCACAAGUUGAUUUUCCUUUGUAUAAAUCAUUUUCUAAGUGAGGUUUCCAAGAGGUUACAUCAGGUAUCAGAAAUUGAGAGUGAAAGUUUUUGUUUAAAAAAGAAAUAUCAGAAGCAACAGCAAAAAGUUAGUUUUCUUGAGAAUCAAUGCCCUCGAUUUUUAAGACUUGGAUCUCUAAUUAUAUUUCUGCUGUCAAUGUUCCUCAAAAUGGUGACCAUAAUUUUACGAGAACUGUACCAUCGCUGGAAAAAUCAACUUCGAAUUUUAAAUUGAACUCUUAAAAUCGAUGAGAUUUUUCUGACACCUUGUGUCAAUGAAUAUCAGGCUCUAAAUAGCAGCUUCCUCUAAAUCUAGAAAUGCAGAAAGAGAGCAAAGCUACUUUUUUUAAGUUAGUUUUAUCGCUUUUUUGGAAGUUUUAUUGUAAGUCCUCAUGAGAAUAACUACUAAGUUCUAUGAUUGUGAUGUGGAGAAAAAGGCAUGCUAUAAAUUAGUAAUUUGCAUCUUUUUUUUAUUCCAAAGGAAAUUCUGAUCUUCUAUUACUUGCAACAGAGGCAGAAGUCAUUUAAAUGAUCAAUGUCCAAUGGGACUAAAUUUUACAUAAGGGAACUAUGCCAUUAGUUUACGGGUAUAGGUAGUUCCUUUUAUAGAUAAGCCAGAAAUAGUUCCUUUUUGCAAAAUGCAGUCCAAAUCAUAGAGAAAAUAUUCUUGAAAAAACUUUUCCAUAAAUGUUUAGAUUUGUAGUCUAGUUUUGAUCAUUCUGAUUGGGAAGUAGUACCUCAAAUAUUUUUUUGCUCAAAUUUUUGGAUUUUUUUGGUUCUGAAUUGAAUUCUUUUUCCAUUCUGUUAAAAAAUUUGUUCUUGAUCAAUUAUGUGAAGACUAUAGAUUGGGGGUACCAAUACCCUACGAAAAAACAUACCCAGCAUAGAGCGAUUGUUUAACAUGCCCUCGGGGGGGGGGGGGGAGGAGGGGUUGGAACUUACUUCAUCCUAAACUGCAAACCUAAAAAUAACAUGAGUUCUUACAGGAGUUUUUACAAUAAACGAUUUGCUGUUCAAAAUUGUAUUAUAUAGUCAUGUUCUGAAUUUGAUAGAUGUACACAAACAGAAGAGGGUCUUACUCAACCAUGGAAAUUCACUAUCCUUGUAACCUAACUUUUUCUGCUAGUAGGGUACAUAACUCACCAUUGGCAGAGCAUAGGAUUGACCCAUCUAUAGUUUGUGUAUUAUUGAUCUCUAUUCCUGUGAGAUAUCAUGAGAUGCGUGUUUAUUUUUACAAAUUUUUUUGUACGUCCGAAUGGACCUCCUAAUUUCAAGACUGAAUUGAUCUGCAAAGCUGUGAUUUUAUGAACAAUAACUAAUUGUUACUUUUGAAUAUCCAUUUAUUUGUCAGAAUUAUUUUUUGUGUAAAAUGCUUUAAUGUUCAACGUCUUGCGAAAGUGGGGCUGUUGCACAAUUUUUGUUACUUUAUUCUUGAAAGUACAAAAAAAAAAUGAGAUUACCUUUAUUUUUUCGUUUUUCAUUUAAUAAAAUUUUGAUUCUUGCAACACUGAAUCUUCAUUUAAAAUCCAUCACAACCAUUGAUUCUAGGUGAGACCAGACACUAAAGCCAGCCAAUGCUUGAAACGUUUACAAUGAAUUACAAACAUUUGAAUGGUAGGAAAAACAUAGUUAAAAGCAUAAGAGAAUCUGCAUUAGCAGCGUUUGGUUUCAAAGCAUCGUAGUUCAUUUAUGAAUAUUUCCUCUUU
rnacentral:lncRNA from 1 species